GAUGAACGCUGGCGGCGUGCCUAAUACAUGCAAGUCGAGCGAACAGACGAGGAGCUUGCUCCUCUGACGUUAGCGGCGGACGGGUGAGUAACACGUGGAUAACCUCCCUAUCAGACUGGGAUAACUUCGGGAAACCGGAUCUAAUACCGGAUAAUAUAUUGAACCGCAUGGUUCAAUAGUGAAAUACGGUUUUGCUGUCACUUAUCGCUGGAUCCGGGCCGCUUUAGCUAGUUGGUAGGGUAACGGCUUUCCAAGGCAACGAUGCGUAGCCGACCUCCGAGGGGGGUCGCCGACCCGGGAGCGUAACCACGGUCAAGAGUACUACGGGAGGCAGCAGUAUGGAACGUUCGGCAAUGGGCGAGAGCUUGGCGGAGCGGCCCCGAGUGAGUGAUAGAGGUCUUCGGAUCGUAAAGCUCUCUUAUUGGGGAAGAACAGAUGUGUAAGGAACUGUACACGGCUUGACGGUACCUAAUCAGAAAGCCACGGCUAACUACGUG
rnacentral:rRNA from 1 species